UUAAGUGACUAAGCGUACACGGUGGAUGCCCUGGCAGUCAGAGGCGAUGAAGGACGUGCUAAUCUGCGAAAAGCGUCGGUAAGGUGAUAUGAACCGUUAUAACCGGCGAUGUCCGAAUGGGGAAACCCAGUGCAAUUCGUUGCACUAUCGUUAACUGAAUACAUAGGUUAACGAGGCGAACCGGGGGAACUGAAACAUCUAAGUACCCCGAGGAAAAGAAAUCAACCGAGAUUCCCCCAGUAGCGGCGAGCGAACGGGGAGCAGCCCAGAGUCUGAAUCAGCUUGUGUGUUAGUGGAACGGUCUGGAAAGUCCGACGGUACAGGGUGAUAGUCCCGUACACCAAAAUGCACAGGNUGUGAACUCGAAGAGUAGGGCGGGACACGUGGUAUCCUGUCUGAAUAUGGGGGGACCAUCCUCCAAGGCUAAAUACUCCUGACUGACCGAUAGUGAACCAGUACCGUGAGGGAAAGGCGAAAAGAACCCCGGCGAGGGGAGUGAAAAAGAACCUGAAACCGUGUACGUACAAGCAGUGGGAGCACCUUCGGGUGUGACUGCGUACCUUUUGUAUAAUGGGUCAGCGACUUAUAUUCUGUAGCAAGGUUAACCGUAUAGGGGAGCCGCAGGGAAACCGAGUCUUAACUGGGCGUUAAGUUGCAGGGUAUAGACCCGAAACCCGGUGAUCUAGCCAUGGGCAGGUUGAAGGUUGGGUAACACUAACUGGAGGACCGAACCGACUAAUGUUGAAAAAUUAGCGGAUGACUUGUGGCUGGGGGUGAAAGGCCAAUCAAACCGGGAGAUAGCUGGUUCUCCCCGAAAGCUAUUUAGGUAGCGCCUCGUGAANUCAUCUUCGGGGGUAGAGCACUGUUUCGGCUAGGGGGUCAUCCCGACUUACCAACCCGAUGCAAACUACGAAUACCGAAGAAUGUUAUCACGGGAGACACACGGCGGGUGCUAACGUCCGUCGUGAAGAGGGAAACAACCCAGACCGCCAGCUAAGGUCCCAAAGUCAUGGUUAAGUGGGAAACGAUGUGGGAAGGCACAGACAGCCAGGAUGUUGGCUUAGAAGCAGCCAUCAUUUAAAGAAAGCGUAAUAGCUCACUGGUCGAGUCGGCCUGCGCGGAAGAUGUAACGGGGCUAAACCAUGCACCGAAGCUGCGGCAGCGACACUAUGUGUUGUUGGGUAGGGGAGCGUUCUGUAAGCCUGCGAAGGUGUGCUGUGAGGCAUGCUGGAGGUAUCAGAAGUGCGAAUGCUGACAUAAGUAACGAUAAAGCGGGUGAAAAGCCCGCUCGCCGGAAGACCAAGGGUUCCUGUCCAACGUUAAUCGGGGCAGGGUGAGUCGACCCCUAAGGCGAGGCCGAAAGGCGUAGUCGAUGGGAAACAGGUUAAUAUUCCUGUACUUGGUGUUACUGCGAAGGGGGGACGGAGAAGGCUAUGUUAGCCGGGCGACGGUUGUCCCGGUUUAAGCAUGUAGGCUGNUCCAGGCAAAUCCGGAUAAUCAAGGCUGAGGUGUGAUGACGAGGCACUACGGUGCUGAAGUAACAAAUGCCCUGCUUCCAGGAAAAGCCUCUAAGCAUCAGGUAACAUCAAAUCGUACCCCAAACCGACACAGGUGGUCAGGUAGAGAAUACCAAGGCGCUUGAGAGAACUCGGGUGAAGGAACUAGGCAAAAUGGUGCCGUAACUUCGGGAGAAGGCACGCUGGUGUGUAGGUGAAGUCCCUGCGGAUGGAGCUGAGACCAGUCGAAGAUACCAGCUGGCUGCAACUGUUUAUUAAAAACACAGCACUGUGCAAACACGAAAGUGGACGUAUACGGUGUGACGCCUGCCCGGUGCCGGAAGGUUAAUUGAUGGGGUUAUCCGUAAGGAGAAGCUCUUGAUCGAAGCCCCGGUAAACGGCGGCCGUAACUAUAACGGUCCUAAGGUAGCGAAAUUCCUUGUCGGGUAAGUUCCGACCUGCACGAAUGGCGUAAUGAUGGCCAGGCUGUCUCCACCCGAGACUCAGUGAAAUUGAACUCGCUGUGAAGAUGCAGUGUACCCGCGGCAAGACGGAAAGACCCCGUGAACCUUUACUAUAGCUUGACACUGAACAUUGAGCCUUGAUGUGUAGGAUAGGUGGGAGGCUUUGAAGCGUGGACGCCAGUCUGCGUGGAGCCAACCUUGAAAUACCACCCUUUAAUGUUUGAUGUUCUAACGUUGGCCCCUGACCGGGGUUGCGGACAGUGUCUGGUGGGUAGUUUGACUGGGGCGGUCUCCUCCCAAAGCGUAACGGAGGAGCACGAAGGUUAGCUAAUCCUGGUCGGACAUCAGGAGGUUAGUGCAAUGGCAUAAGCUAGCUUGACUGCGAGCGUGACGGCGCGAGCAGGUGCGAAAGCAGGUCAUAGUGAUCCGGUGGUUCUGAAUGGAAGGGCCAUCGCUCAACGGAUAAAAGGUACUCCGGGGAUAACAGGCUGAUACCGCCCAAGAGUUCAUAUCGACGGCGGUGUUUGGCACCUCGAUGUCGGCUCAUCACAUCCUGGGGCUGAAGUAGGUCCCAAGGGUAUGGCUGUUCGCCAUUUAAAGUGGUACGCGAGCUGGGUUUAGAACGUCGUGAGACAGUUCGGUCCCUAUCUGCCGUGGGCGCUGGAGAAUUGAGGGGGGCUGCUCCUAGUACGAGAGGACCGGAGUGGACGCAUCACUGGUGUUCGGGUUGUCAUGCCAAUGGCACUGCCCGGUAGCUAAAUGCGGAAGAGAUAAGUGCUGAAAGCAUCUAAGCACGAAACUUGCCCCGAGAUGAGUUCUCCCUGAGACUUUAAGUCUCCUGAAGGAACGUUGAAGACGACGACGUUGAUAGGCCGGGUGUGUAAGCGCAGCGAUGCGUUGAGCUAACCGGUACUAAUGAACCGUGAGGCUUAACCUU
rnacentral:rRNA from 1 species